AGGGUUCGAUUCUGGCUCAGGACGAACGCUGGCGGCGCGCCUAACACAUGCAAGUCGAACGAGCGAGAGAGAGCUUGCUUUCUCAAGCGAGUGGCGAACGGGUGAGUAACGCGUGAGGAACCUGCCUCAAAGAGGGGGACAACAGUUGGAAACGACUGCUAAUACCGCAUAAGCCCACGACCCGGCAUCGGGUAGAGGGAAAAGGAGCAAUCCGCUUUGAGAUGGCCUCGCGUCCGAUUAGCUAGUUGGUGAGGUAAUGGCCCACCAAGGCGACGAUCGGUAGCCGGACUGAGAGGUUGAACGGUCACAUUGGGACUGAGACACGGCCCAG
rnacentral:rRNA from 1 species